rfam:Candidatus Marinimicrobia bacterium TMED80 66371, whole genome shotgun sequence.
GGGGUCGACAGGUUUUGACAGCAAGACUAAUUUUUUUAUUAGCAGGUCGAGGUUUGAAAAUAAACUCGUNAAAUUAAUUUUCANCUUUUAAAUGGCGAAAAUAACUACGCUCUAGCUGCAUAAUUGACUGAAUNAUAGUAAGUCAUUGCGAAUCUCAACUAGGUUGAGAAGCUAGAUGUCUCACAAAGACUUUGAUUAACAGUUUUUAUAUAUGAGAUACCAUUAAGUUAAUCUAGAAUUUUAUUGUCACUGAAUAAAAUUUUAAAUCAAAGUGAUAAGGAUAAUAUUUUGGUUGUUAUCUACCAAUUAUUUUCUCGAAAACCUAAAGAUAAAUAAGCUUGUAGAAGGUAAUUUAAUUACUUGUAUGGACGCGGGUUCGAAUCCCGCCGACUCCACAA